GACGAACGCUGGCGGCGUGCUUAACACAUGCGAGUCGAGCGGUAAGGCUCCUUCGGGAGUACACGAGCGGCGAACGGGUGAGUAAAACGUGAGCAAUCUGACCUUAAAAUCGGAAUAACCGCCGGAAACGGUGGCUAAUAACGGAUACGACCAUCGCAGGGAACUGAUGCUGGCGGAAAGCGCCGGCGGAGGAGGAUGAGCUCGCGGCCUAUCAGCUUGUUGGUGGGGUAACGGCCUACCAAGGCGACGACGGGUAGCCGGCCUGAGAGGAGGAUCAGCCACAUUGGGACUGAGAUACGGUCCAGACUCCUACGGGAGGCAGCAGUGGGUAAUAUUGCACAAUGGGGUAAACCCUGAUGCAGCAACGCCGCGUGAGUGAUGAAGGCCUUCGGGUUGUAAAGCUCUGUCUUCGGGGACGAUAAUGACGGUACCCGAGGAGGAAGCCACGGCUAACUACGUGCCAGCCGCCGCGGUAACAC
rnacentral:rRNA from 1 species